UGGGGAAUAUUGGACAAUGGGCGAAAGCCUGAUCCAGCCAUGCCGCGUGUGUGAAGAAGGUCUUCGGAUUGUAAAGCACUUUAAGUUGGGAGGAAGGGCAGUAAGUUAAUACCUUGCUGUUUUGACGUUACCAACAGAAUAAGCACCGGCUAACUUCGUGCCAGCAGCCGCGGUAAUACGAAGGGUGCAAGCGUUAAUCGGAAUUACUGGGCGUAAAGCGCGCGUAGGUGGUUCAGCAAGUUGGAUGUGAAAUCCCCGGGCUCAACCUGGGAACUGCAUCCAAAACUACUGAGCUAGAGUACGGUAGAGGGUGGUUGAAUUUCCUGUGUAGCGGUUAAAUGCGUAGAUAUAGGAAGGAACACCAAUGGCGAAGGCGACCACCUGGACUGAUACUGACACUGAGGUGCGAAAGCGUGGGGAGCAAACA
rnacentral:rRNA from 1 species